rnacentral:rRNA from 1 species
GAUGAACGCUGGCGGCGUGCCUAAUACAUGCAAGUCGAGCGAACGGACGAGAAGCUUGCUUCUCUGAUGUUAGCGGCGGACGGGUGAGUAACACGUGGAUAACCUACCUAUAAGACUGGGAUAACUUCGGGAAACCGGAGCUAAUACCGGAUAAUAUUUUGAACCGCAUGGUUCAAAAGUGAAAGACGGUCUUGCUGUCACUUAUAGAUGGAUCCGCGCUGCAUUAGCUAGUUGGUAAGGUAACGGCUUACCAAGGCAACGAUGCAUAGCCGACCUGAGAGGGUGAUCGGCCACACUGGAACUGAGACACGGUCCAGACUCCUACGGGAGGCAGCAGUAGGGAAUCUUCCGCAAUGGGCGAAAGCCUGACGGAGCAACGCCGCGUGNAGUGAUGAAGGUCUUCGGAUCGUAAAACUCUGUUAUUAGGGAAGAACAUAUGUGUAAGUAACUGUGCACAUCUUGACGGUACCUAAUCAGAAAGCCACGGCUAACUACGUGCCAGCAGCCGCGGUAAUACGUAGGUGGCAAGCGUUAUCCGGAAUUAUUGGGCGUAAAGCGCGCGUAGGCGGUUUUUUAAGUCUGAUGUGAAAGCCCACGGCUCAACCGUGGAGGGUCAUUGGAAACUGGAAAACUUGAGUGCAGAAGAGGAAAGUGGAAUUCCAUGUGUAGCGGUGAAAUGCGCAGAGAUAUGGAGGAACACCAGUGGCGAAGGCGACUUUCUGGUCUGUAACUGACGCUGAUGUGCGAAAGCGUGGGGAUCAAACAGGAUUAGAUACCCUGGUAGUCCACGCCGUAAACGAUGAGUGCUAAGUGUUAGGGGGUUUCCGCCCCUUAGUGCUGCAGCUAACGCAUUAAGCACUCCGCCUGGGGAGUACGACCGCAAGGUUGAAACUCAAAGGAAUUGACGGGGACCCGCACAAGCGGUGGAGCAUGUGGUUUAAUUCGAAGCAACGCGAAGAACCUUACCAAAUCUUGACAUCCUUUGACAACUCUAGAGAUAGAGCCUUCCCCUUUCNGGGGACAAAGUGACAGGUGGUGCAUGGUUGUCGUCAGCUCGUGUCGUGAGAUGUUGGGUUAAGUCCCGCAACGAGCGCAACCCUUAAGCUUAGUUGCCAUCAUUAAGUUGGGCACUNUAAGUUGACUGCCGGUGACAAACCGGAGGAAGGUGGGGAUGACGUCAAAUCAUCAUGCCCCUUAUGAUUUGGGCUACACACGUGCUACAAUGGACAAUACAAAGGGCAGCGAAACCGCGAGGUCAAGCAAAUCCCAUAAAGUUGUUCUCAGUUCGGAUUGUAGUCUGCAACUCGACUACAUGAAGCUGGAAUCGCUAGUAAUCGUAGAUCAGCAUGCUACGGUGAAUACGUUCCCGGGUCUUGUACACACCGCCCGUCACACCACGAGAGUUUGUAACACCCGAAGCCGGUGGAGUAACCUUUUAGGAGCUAGCCGUCGAAGGUGGGACAAAUGAUUGGGGUGAAGUCGUAACAAGGUAGCCGUAUCGGAAGG